CUGGAGGAGCAGCAGGAGUUUCAAACAUUUUGUUGUCUCUUAGAGCUUACACAUGCGAUCUGGUAGUCCAUGUCAUGAAAAAUGAAAUCCAACAUAUAUGUCUGUUGAAUUGUGUUAUGUUAUGUGAGUGUUGAUGCUUCCACACAGCUGCAGCAGAGAAGCAGCCGUGAAGCCUGCAGCAUUCCGUAAAGCAAAAACCUCUCGAUUUCACUCGGAAACAACUUCAGGUCUGAUGUGUUUGUGAGCUGUGGCAGAAUGUGAUGCUUCGAGCUGCAUGAAUCUAAAGAGGCCUGUGUGGAGCACACAGGGUCAGAGGAAAGCAGAGUGCCACACACUCCACACAAACAGUUUACUGAAGUCUAAUAUGGAGCAGUGGUCAUUUUGUAAGGGUGGAAUAAUGAUGAUGGGUGGAGAGAAACAGCAACUAAAAGCUUUUCUGCAUCAAUAUGACUACAAGAGUUGAAAUGAAUGUUGUUUUAAAAUCUCAUUUAAACACUCAUCCAUUUCAGCUCAAACGGCUUUAAAUGUCAAAAAGAGUAUGAAAAAAAUGCUAAAUGCUAAAAACUAAAUUGUUGCAUCACUGCCUCUAUCUCCCUAAGAUCUUCCUUCACAGGUGGGUGGACCUGCAGAGGGCUGACGCUCCUCCUCUUCCUCAUGUGGCCCAGCUGCAUGCUGGGGUGUCUUGAACAGCUCUUCAUUUACGGAGCUAAAUGUUUUGGUAAUUAAAAAAAACAAACAAAAAAACAAAGAUGUAAUAGAAAAAGUAAAACUUGAAAUUGAAAACUUAAGUUUGCCCCCUAAGCAAAAUCAGGGCCAAAGGUCAGAAACAGAAGAAAAAAAAAAA